UACGGGUGGGGCAAGCGUUGUUCGGAAUUACUGGGCGUAAAGGGCUCGUAGGCGGCCAACUAAGUCAGACGUGAAAUCCCUCGGCUUAACCGGGGAACUGCAUCUGAUACUGGAUGGCUUGAGUUCGGGAGAGGGAUGCGGAAUUCCAGGUGUAGCGGUGAAAUGCGUAGAUAUCUGGAGGAACACCGGUGGCGAAGGCGGCAUCCUGGACCGACACUGACGCUGAGGAGCGAAAGCUAGGGGAGCAAACGGG
rnacentral:rRNA from 1 species